GCCAUUGCUGUAAAAAACGGUCCAUUGGAGUCAACGGAGUUGUCUCUCUUUAUGGCUCUGGUCCCGCCCAGACUCCGAAGUGCCGAUCGAGGGAUACUUUUCUAUCCCAGAAGCCCACGCAAGAGAAUACGUCAUCAUCGAACGUGAAGGAGAACAACGACGAGGGUGUUUACAAAUGACAAUAUUCGAAAAUAAUUGCAUAUGAGCACAUCACAACAUGAAUAAGACAUGAUCUGAGUGAGGGACAGAUGAGACACAUGUGUGUUUAUCUGGUGAAGAGUGACUGAUGAAGGAAUGCUGCCAUCAAAGGCUUUGAAUGAGUACACUACAGAAAUGAAUAAAACAUCUUUUAAAUGUUAAGUUGUAGUUUAUUUUAAUUACUGUAAUUUUAAACAGAGUUAUUACAGCACUUUUCUGAUUCUUGAUUUCUAUACAUUUGCUGCAGAGCUUUUGUGGUGGAGCAGGUGACGGCGGCAUUUGUGAAAAAAGAAAAAAAAAAAGAAAACCUGAAACAAAAAUAUAAAGAUCUGAAAUGUCCACAGACUAGAGUGAGCACUGAGGAUGGAGAAGUCCACAGCAGCACCCUAGAAAUGGUCCUGUGUCAUGGAUGAGAUCCUCCAUCACUCCAUCUGCCCUCAUCUGUCUCAUCUGGACCAGAUGUUGUGUGAACAGAUUUCCUCAUCCUCUCUGUGUACUCAGGCAAUGAUAGACUCGAUGUCCAUUUCCCAUCCAUGAUCAGAUUCAGUCUGACAGGAGGAAUGAAAAUGAACAAAAAACAAUGAAAAGUAAAGGGCAAGCACAUCCUGAUUUUGCUGAGUUAGAUGUUAGAGUUAGUUAUUUUGUUUUAUAUCCCUACACCUAAACCUAACCUUAACCAUAAGUAAUGAGAAAAGAUUAGAAGUUAAUUAGAACUAAUUGUAAUCACGUAGUAUGAAGUAAUGAGUGAUGUAAACGAGUGAAGAUUGUGUGCUUAUAUAAUGGAAGCCAGCUAGUAAGAGCUGUGCAGGUAAACAUCACUCAUCUGAUCUCAAGAGGCACACUAGCAACUGGCUGCGGUCUUUAGCAUACUUGAUAGUGCACCUACAUCUUAUGCUAGAAAAUAUGGUUGGAGUCCUGCUCAGAGCGGGUGCAGUAGAACCAAGUAAGAGGAGUACAUGAGGUGUAUGAAUCACUGACCUUUUGACAUUUGCAUGACACAUGCACUCUAAGGCUGCUGUUAUGUAUCACUACUAAAGAGCACAGAACAAGCUUAGUAAACUGAACAUAUUCCUGAUUAUACUUAAGACUCUUGAGAGUCGAGACUCUAGAAGAUACACUACAUAAAAAGAAAAACUGAUGUAUUCAAUAUCGAUAACAACAAAAUCAAUCCAUAAUGAAAGACCGCAGAUCUUUAAUCGCCACUUCAAUAACAACAUGACAUCUAUAUAAAACCCUGUUACAGCACAGCAGUAGCACUCACAUAGCAUGUCUUAUCUAUGGUGCUCUGAAAGACAAUUUAUACACACUGCUGUCAGAAUCUAUGAGAGGAAAUGGAAAACAGUGCUUAUUUUCUCUUUACGUAUUGUAAAGUGGAGGCAAGCACUGAUACUCAAAUGAAGUAUAGGAUUCGAUAUGCAUUGAAAAAGCUUCAGUAUAAUAAUAUAAAACAAUAAUCACCAUAUUUUACGUAUUAAUUAUAUGAUAUUGUGAAUUGUUUAUUACAGAUACACAGCUUUUUGCUUCACAAGAAGUGAAUUAAUGGACUGGAGUCAUGUGGAUUACUAGUGGGUCAUUAUGAUGCUUUUAUCAGCUGUUUGGACUCUCAUUCUCAUAGUGAUGUAAUGCUAAAUUUCUCCAAAUCUGUUCUGACAAAGGAACAAAAACAUCUACAUUUUGAAUGGCCUGAGGGUGAGUAAAUUUACAUUUUUGGAUGAACUGUACAUUUAAUUUAUUUAAUCCUUUGUCAAACUGUCCAAAAGAGUUACACAUGAAGGUGCAAUGCAAAUUAUGCAACACUCAACAGAAAGUGCAUGCAUCAGACUCUUUUGAAUUUUUUUUUUCUCAUCCUCUUUUCUCAUCCCAAGACAUUCUCUGAGCAGAGAGAAAAGAACAUGCUGAAAACAAUCAAGGAAAAACAUGGAUAAUUAUUCAAGCCUAGUCAUUCUGAAUUACUAAAAAAAAAAAAAACAUCUAAACUUUGGUUUUCUCUGCCAUCUUUUUUUGAGAAAAGAAAAAUGGGCAUUAACAUGAACCAAGAGAUAAAUUGCUGUAGAGACACUGAACGCUAUGCCAAAUUUCGUAUGAACCAGGGGAAACAUAUGUCUCCAGGCUAAUGCACAGUGUUAACUAAGCCCUGUGGCAUCUUUUCUUAAGACUUAACCAGUGGCUGUAGACCAGGUAAUACAUUCAGAUUUGCAGAGGUUACUUUCCUGCCCAUAUUUUUGAUUUUGGACUGGCCCCAAAUCAGUUGGAAAGGUCUAUUUCUAUCAUUGUUAGCCUUGCCAAUCCCUUACCACCCCAUGAAUGAAGAGGAAAUAAUUUUUCUUCACCAGUAUUUUCCCUGUGUGAAUAAUUCUCUUUUCCUUUAUGUUUAUUGUUCACAUUCAGCAGAGCUGAUCAGGGAAUGUUUCAUGUAGGUUUGGCCAUGGAUUUGACAGCUUUCUUUUGUUUUGUGCAAUAUCUGACACAAUUUGUCCAUUGUUGAUACAGUUUCUCUUCUCGCUUCUAGUAAAAAAAAAAAAAAAGAUUUACACUUUAGAAUACUUUUGCAAUAUACUGUAAAACAUUAUACUUGACCAGAAUUAAUGUUUUUGGACACUUAAUUGCAUGUUAAUUGCACUAAUGAAAGUGUAUUAUAGUUUACAUAUCCAAAGUUAUGUCAUGAAACUCUAGAUGGCACAGGCUGAUAGGUUCUAACUCAAUCUGAUAUAAUGGCAUCAUUAUUCACAUGGUGCAGCUAAUUAGUUUCUUUUCACACCAGCGGUUACAUAUUUCACUGUAGCAGUUCCAUUGUGCUUCAGAAACCUUCCCCAGCUCCACCUGUAGAUAUGCUGCAGUGUAAUUUCAUGUACAUUAUAUAUAGUGGUUAUUUCAUAUAUGGUAUAUGUGCAGCAGCAAUAUUUCCUACAUGCUCACAGCAGCAUGUCUGUGGAUGUAUUAGCAGUAUCAAUUCUCUCUCGCAGCAGUGUAGCAGAUUAAUGCUGCCAAGACCAAACAUUGCCAUCUACAUUGCCAUGCUAAACUCUCUGAGAAUUGUCAUGACAGAACUACAUUAAAUGCAAUUACUGUAGCUAAAUUUAACAGUGCUUUCUUUAUUCUUUUA